rnacentral:rRNA from 1 species
CCUACGGGAGGCAGCAGUGGGGAAUAUUGCACAAUGGGGGAAACCCUGAUGCAGCGACGCCGCGUGAAGGAAGAAGUAUUUCGGUAUGUAAACUUCUAUCAGCAGGGAAGAAAAUGACGGUACCUGACUAAGACGCCGCGGCUAACUACGUGCCAGCAGCCGCGGUAAUACGUAGGGGGCAAGCGUUAUCCGGAUUUACUGGGUGGAAAGGCGGCGUAGGCGGUGCAGACAGUCAGAAGGGAAAGCGCGGGGCUCAACGCCGGGACUGCUUUUGAAACUGUUGAACUAGAUGGCAGGAGAGGGAAGUGGAAUGCCUAGUGUAGCGGUGAAAUGCGUAGAUAUUAGGAGGAACACCAGUGGCGAAGGCGGCAUACUGGACUGUAAAUGACGCUGAGGCUCGAAAGCGUGGGGAGCAAACAGGAUUAGAUACCCGAGUAGUC